rnacentral:ncRNA from 1 species
AAUUUUAAAAAAUUUUAAAUAGUUUUUACCAAUUUAGAGCUUUUUUUAUAAAAUAAUUAUUUUAAUCUUUUUAAAAUCUAUUUUAACAUCUUAUUAUGCUGUGGUAAUUCUAGAGCUAAUACAUGCUGAAAACCUCGACUUCGGAAGGGGUGUAUUUAUUAGAUAAAAAACCAAUGCCCUUCGGGGCUCCUUGGUGAAUCAUAAUAACUUAACGAAUCGCAUGGCCUUGCGCCGGCGAUGGUUCAUUCAAAUUUCUGCCCUAUCAACUUUCGAUGGUAGGAUAGUGGCCUACCAUGGUGGCAACGGGUAACGGGGAAUUAGGGUUCGAUUCCGGAGAGGGAGCCUGAGAAACGGCUACCACAUCCAAGGAAGGCA